AUACCAGGGUCAAAAGUCAAAAAUGUGAGUCAUGCUUGCAUGAAUGAGCAUUUUUGACUUAAUGACCCGCACAAACAUGAGCAAGUAGCAAUUUCCUGCGAAGUCAGGAAAUUAGCGGAUUGCGAAUGGUUGUAGGAUUGCGAGAGUUGCAAGGCAACGAAGCAAUCCGUGGUAU
rnacentral:sRNA from 1 species